rnacentral:rRNA from 1 species
UACGAAGGGGGCGAGCGUUGUUCGGAUUUACUGGGCGUAAAGGGCGCGCAGGCGGCCAUUCAAGUCAGGCGUGAAAGCCCCGGGCUUAACCUGGGAGGUGCGCUUGGAACUGGGUGGCUAGAGAUCGGGAGAGGAGAGUGGAAUUCCCAGUGUAGAGGUGAAAUUCGUAGAUAUUGGGAAGAACACCGGUGGCGAAGGCGGCUCUCUGGACCGAUACUGACGCUGAGGCGCGAAAGCGUGGGGAGCAAACAGG